GCCCGGGUGGUGGAAUGGCAGACACAAGGGACUUAAAAUCCCUCGGCCGCAAAGCCGUGCCGGUUCAAAUCCGGCCCCGGGCA
rnacentral:tRNA from 1 species